rnacentral:antisense_RNA from 2 species
CUUCACCGAACCCAACCACACCGGUUCCGAAUCGCGAUCACGCUGACCAUAAGUCGCCAGCAACGCCUGCGCCUC